UACGUAGGGGGCAAGCGUUGUCCGGAUUUAUUGGGCGUAAAGAGCGUGUAGGCGGCCAGAUAGGUCAGCUGUGAAAACUCGAGGCUCAACCUCGAGACGUCGGUUGAAACCAUCUGGCUAGAGUCCGGAAGAGGAGAGUGGGAUUCCCGGUGUAGCGGUGAAAUGCGCAGAUAUCAGGAAGAACACCCGUGGCGAAGGCGGCUCUCUGGGACGGUACUGACGCUGAGACGCGAAAGCGUGGGGAGCGAACAGG
rnacentral:rRNA from 1 species